rnacentral:misc_RNA from 1 species
GAUGAAGAACGCAGCGAAAUGCGAUAAGUAAUGUGAAUUGCAGAAUUCAGUGAAUCAUCGAAUCUUUGAACGCACAUUGCGCCCCUUGGUAUUCCGAGGGGCAUGCCUGUUCGAGCGUCAUUAUAACCCCUCAAGCUCAGCUUGGUGUUGGGGCCUGCUGCACUGGCAGCCCUUAAAAUCAGUGGCGGCGCCAUCUGGCACUAAGCGUAGUAAUUCUUCUCGCUAUGGAGUCCUGGUGGAUGCUUGCCAUCAACCCCCAAUUUUUCUAUGGUUGACCUCGGAUCAGGUAGGGAUACCCGCUGAACUUAAGCAUAUCAAUAAGCGGAGGA